rnacentral:rRNA from 1 species
GUAACACGUGGGUAACCUGCCUGUAAGACUGGGAUAACUCCGGGAAACCGGGGCUAAUACCGGAUGCUUGAUUGAACCGCAUGGUUCAAUCAUAAAAGGUGGCUUUUAGCUACCACUUGCAGAUGGACCCGCGGCGCAUUAACUAGUUGGUGAGGUAACGGCUCACCAAGGCGACGAUGCGUAGCCGACCUGAGAGGGUGAUCGGCCACACUGGGACUGAGACACGGCCCAGACUCCUACGGGAGGCAGCAGUAGGGAAUCUUCCGCAAUGGACGAAAGUCUGACGGAGCAACGCCGCGUGAGUGAUGAAGGUUUUCGGAUCGUAAAACUCUGUUGUUAGGGAAGAACAAGUACCGUUCGAAUAGGGCGGUACCUUGACGGUACCUAACCAGAAAGCCACGGCUAACUACGUGCCAGCAGCCGCGGUAAUACGUAGGUGGCAAGCGUUGUCCGGAAUUAUUGGGCGUAAAGCGCGCGCAGGCGGUUUCUUAAGUCUGAUGUGAAAGCCCCCGGCUCAACCGGGGAGGGUCAUUGGAAACUGGGGAACUUGAGUGCAGAAGAGGAGAGUGGAAUUCCACGUGUAGCGGUGAAAUGCGUAGAGAUGUGGAGGACCACCAGUGGCGAAGGCGACUCUCUGG